rnacentral:tRNA from 1 species
UUUAAGUAAUUUAAAAAAAAAUUUUGAUUUGUGAUAUCAAAUAUAUGAGUUUAAUUCUUAUCUUAAAUCA